rnacentral:rRNA from 1 species
UACGGGAGGCAGCAGUGGGGAAUAUUGCACAAUGGGCGCAAGCCUGAUGCAGCCAUGCCGCGUGUAUGAAGAAAGCCUUCGGGUUGUAAAGUACUUUCAGUCGUGAGGAAGGUGUUAAGGUUAAUAACCUUAGCAAUUGACGUUAGCGACAGAAGAAGCACCGGCUAACUCCGUGCCAGCAGCCGCGGUAAUACGGAGGGUGCGAGCGUUAAUCGGAAUUACUGGGCGUAAAGGGCACGCAGGCGGUUAAUUAAGUUGGAUGUGAAUCCCCGGGCUUAACCUGGGAAUGGCAUUCAAGACUGGUUAGCUAGAGUCUUGUAGAGGGGGUAGAAUUCCAUGUGUAGCGGUGAAAUGCGUAGAGAUGUGGAGGAAUACCGGGUGGCGAAGGCGGCCCCUGGGACAAAGACUGACGCUCAUGUGCGAAAGCGUGGGGAGCAAACAGGGAUUAGAUACC